rnacentral:lncRNA from 1 species
UUGGAAUAACAUGUCUAUGCGAAGUACCGCAUACAUGGUGAAAUUCUUCUGUUAUUCCAUUCUUUAUUAUUCUGUUGGAAUAACCUGUGUGUGCGGCCUAUCGCAUGCCUGGUGAUUUCUGUUGUUAUUCCAUUCUUUAUUAUUAUGUUGGAAUAUCCCGUCAGUGCGGAUUACGCAUAACCUGGUUCCAUUCCUUAUUAUUCUGUUGGAAUAUCCUCUCUGUGCGGAUUACGCAUGACCUAGUUCAAUUCUUUAUUAUUCUGUUGAGAAUAACAUGUCUGUGCGGUCUAUCGCAUGUAUGGUGAAUUCUUC